rnacentral:tRNA from 2 species
GCGUAAUUGGUUUAGUGGUAAAAUUCUCCGUUGCCAUUCGAGCGAUAUCGGGGAGCCCUGGGUUCGAUUCCCAGAUUACGCA